GCCGAAGUGGUGAAAUUGGUAGACACGCAACGUUCAGGGCGUUGUGCUCGAAAGGGCAUGGGGGUUCGAGUCCCCCCUUCGGCACCA
rnacentral:tRNA from 2 species